rnacentral:lncRNA from 1 species
GCAGGACUCCUGAUUAAGAGUAACUGAAGAAGAACUGUUCAUGUCGAGUUAAAGUGGAAAAAAAAAAAAAAAAAGAAAUUAAAAUAUUCAAGUAAAACUUUUUUUUAAAAAACUAAUUCACAUAGUCAAUUUUUUUUUGUUUACUAUGCAUGUUCUCUUUUGCAACAUACAGGCCUGAAAUCAAGUUUCUCAUCAAGGAGGAAGAGGAGGAGAAACCUGCCUGUGAAAUUAGUGUGUAUGAGGAGAGAGAGGAGGAGAAACCUGCCUGUAAAAUUGAGAGUUUAUGAUGAGAGAGCAAGAUGCUUCUGUUGGCACUCAGAGAGCAGCAUCUCCGGGAUGCAGCUGUGUGUUUCUAUGAAGAGUAACAAAUCCAUGAAUGAUAUUCCUCCUGGUCUCAGUGAUGAACCUGCUGUGAACUCUGAACCUGUGUUCAUGGUGAGAAUCAGUCCUGACAACAGCGAGUGCUCCUCAAAGGUCCAGAUCAGCAGAAGAAGUGGGAAG